AUUGAACGCUGGUGGCAGGCCUAACACAUGCAAGUCGAGCGAGCGGCGGACGGGUGAGUAAUGUAUGGGGACUGCCCGAUAGAGGGGGAUAACUACUGGAAACGGUGGCUAAUACCGCAUACUAUCGGAUAACCCAUAUGGGAUUAGCUAGUAGGUGGGGUAAAGGCGCACCUAGGCGACGAUCUCUAGCUGGUCUGAGAGGCGGAGCAGCCAAGCUGAGACUGAGUAACGGCCCAGACUCCUACGGAGGCAGUAGUGGGGAAUAUGGCACAAUGGGCGCAAGCCUUAUGCAGCCAUGCCGCGUGUAGGAAGAAGGCCUUAGGGUUUUAAAGUACUUUCAGCAGGGAGGCGUUACCCGCAGAAGAUGCACCGGCAAACUCCGUGCCAGCGGCCAAGGUAAUUC
rnacentral:rRNA from 1 species